UACGUAGGGUGCGAGCGUUAAUCGGAAUUACUGGGCGUAAAGCGUGCGCAGGCGGUUGUGUAAGACAGAUGUGAAAUCCCCGGGCUCAACCUGGGAACUGCGUUUGUGACUGCACGACUAGAAUACGGCAGAGGGGGGUGGAAUUCCACGUGUAGCAGUGAAAUGCGUAGAUAUGUGGAGGAACACCGAUGGCGAAGGCAGCCCCCUGGGCCUGUAUUGACGCUCAUGCACGAAAGCGUGGGGAGCAAAC
rnacentral:rRNA from 1 species